GUCUACUGGGGGUGGUGUGCAGGUGGCCCUCCCCUUCCCAGUCCCACCUCCACAAAAACACAGGACAUCACGACACUGGCAGAUUAGACAAGCUGCCUCCUUUCCAGCAGAGUCCCCGCCUGUAUGGAGCCUGAGGUGUCCCGCGGAGGCUGAGGGAGUGUGGUUAGGAGUGUCCAAGCACCACCAUGGGCGCCCUAGCAAGCAGGCAGAGUGCAGGGGUGGAGGAGGUGGACAUUGGGGUCAACCAUGCCUACAGAUACCCGCCCAAGUCAGGGAACUACUUCAGCAGCCACUUCAUUAUGGGGGGUGAGCGUUUUGAGACGGCCCUGCCUGAAAUGUAUCUUUUUGGGGAGAACAUGGAUGUCAACUUCCUAGGCUCACGUCCUGCUCCGUUCCCUUACCCGGCACCGACAGCCAAUGAGCCCAGCAAGACCCUCAAGGCACUCAUCAACAUCAGGAAGGAGAGUCUGCGCUUUGUCCGAGCCCCAGACGACUCAGCCACACUCAAGGGGCCGGACGAAGGCUCCCAUCCAUCCAGAUUCAACAUAGAGUUCACCUUUGACUGUGAUGUUCGAUGCGCCAUUACCAUCAUGUACUUCUGCACAGAGGAGGUCACCACCAGCGGGAUGAUAUACACACCACGGGACCCCUCAAUGAACUCAGAGACAUACCACUACAAACGCGGCGCCAACCAGCAGUUCUCACAAGUGUGCCAUGUGUUUGACCCUUCAUUAUACCCUGAGGAGGACUUGGUAUACAGCUUUGACCGGGAAAUGUUGCCCAUUGUGAUCUACUGUGUGGCGGAGGAGGGGGAAGAGCCCAGACAGUCCCAUGCCACCUUUGCAGUUGUGGAGAAGCACUCAGAUGGCUUUGCACUCAAACCUCUCAAGCAGAAGCUGUUUGUGGAUGGCCUUUCUUACCUCCUGCAGGAAAUUUAUGGCAUAGAAAACAAGAAUGCUGAUAAGGUGUCAACAGAGGAUGACACAGAGGACAAUGGUGCUGAGUGUGUCAUCUGCAUGUGUGACCUGCGUGACACUCUCAUCCUUCCCUGCCGACACUUAUGCCUCUGCAACUGCUGUGCUGAUUCCCUCAGGUACCAGGCCAGUAACUGUCCCAUCUGCCGAGCUCCUUUCCGCGCCCUGCUGCAGAUCAAGGCCCUGCAGAAGCUGUCAGGGUCUGCCACCAAUGCACAGUCCAACACAGAGGGAGAGACUCAAUCCUUUGUGGUAGUUAAAUUGAUGUCUGAAGCUGAAGAACUCGACUCCUUGAUCUGGGACUGGACUCGGGGAGGUGAGAAUAUCCCACCCGGGUAUGAGGCAGUGCCACUUAUAGAGGCUCUCAAUGGGCCAUCUGCAGCACCCCAGCAACCCUCGGCUCCCAAUACCCAUGACUUGUACGUGCAACUGCCCCAGAACGCCACUGACGCCCCAGCUGAGGUCCUCCCACGCACUGAGGCUUCCAGCAGGUGCUUCAUGGAGGGGCUGGGGGUGCGGACAGGUGCUGGCACACUGGAGGACUCCACCACCCAGACUGAGCGGCCGCCCAGUGCCUGCGACAGCACUACCCAGAGUGUUGGGAUGACAGAGAUGCGCAUGUCAGUCCUUUUGGCGCAGGAGUCGGAGGACCUGUCCAAGGCUGAUGCUCCCCCGGCAAGCAGCCCUCGGCCGCCUACCAAGAAGAAGGCAAGCCAGAAGCACCACCUGAGGGAGAAGCAGCAGUUUGGCUCCAAGGACAGCGUGAAGGUGGUGAAUGAGCUCGGGGGACCACACAGCCUGGAGGUGGUGGACCCGGCAGAGACUCGCAGCCUCCUGGACGAAGACCGACUGGAGACAAACUUUGGGGCAGAGCGAGAGCGUCGCCCAAGACUGGCCAUGGAGGACAUGCAGCCUGACCUGAGGGCUCCACAGGCUGAGGAGGAGGAGGGACCAGGAGAGGGAACAGGAAAUCCCGGAUAGUGAGGAGGUGAUGACCGCUGCUGAUUGUGGCCUGUAGAGCUCAUAGCCCUCUUCUCUCCCAAGCUCUCUGAUAGUGUUGUAAGAUCUCGUGCAGGCCGGAGUCAGCAAUCAGCGCCAUCCUCGCCGAGUGGAGCAGCGCUGAAUUUGACGCAACAGAGUGACUCUCUCUCCCUGCCUGGCACACCACUCAGUAAUGCCUCAGCCAUCAGCAGGUCCUCAGAUGCCUCAGUCAGCUCUGCUUCCUCCACACGGGCGCUGCUCUCCCACCCUGCCCACACCUCGUCUGCCAGCAUUGUGUGAGGCAGGGAGGGGAAGGCUGUGGCUGCAGGUUCUCCACUAGACUGGGAACCAUUUGAGCAGAUUUGACUACCUUUCUCUCUCUCUCUCUCUCUCUCUCUCUCUCUCUCUGAUUCCUCAAAGUUUUACAUUCUUUAAUUGGGAGGUUCUAGUUUUAGUUGCCUUAUAUUGUUGUUAUUUUUAUUUUCAUAACCUGAUUAAGGAUAUUUUCUUCUGAACCCAAGGUGUGAUGUGAACUUAUUUGUAAGGAAGAGAAACCAUGGAGAUUAAAGGGAAGUAGUCCUUGCUUCUGUUGUACAAGUUAACACAUCAUUCUUCAGUCAUCAUUUUUGUAAAAUCCUGUGCUGCUUUCUUCUAGUCACUCUCCAAAUCUCAUAGGGGUGCUAAGAUAAAUUACUUGUGCCCUUGCAAAGUCCUUAGUCAGUUACAUUGGCUUAGAAUUGUUGAGCUGAUGAGUGCAUACAGAGACAGACCAACUGCCAUGGCCUGCGAUGUGUGGAAGAAUGCUGUAUAAUCUCAAGUCUCAGGAUUAGUUCAAGACCAAGAAUCUGCACAUCACAAAGUCUGGUGCACUGUGUUAAUAAUUGGUAUACAUGUAAUUCUGAAGAUUUGCUCUCAGAAUAUCUUCCUUCCUGAUCACAGCCUCUUGACCCACUGAGGAAUAUGAGCCAGUCCAUGUGUGCUCUCAGCUGCAACACAAACCAGUCUCCAGUCUCAGAGGUUUUAUGUUCAUGUUAUAAGUUGAUUUAGCUAUCUUAAUUUUUGUUGUCAUUGUUGGGAAUUCUUUUCCUUAAGCAAACAUGAACAUGGAAAAAAGAAUCAGUUCCAUGUUAAGGUAACUGCCCUAAUGGCUUGAACAGGUCAUAAUAAUAAUUCAAGUAGUAUAAUUUUCUCAGCAUUUCAUAUUUUCCAUUUGUAAAAAAAAAUAAAACACUUUUAUAUUCAAGUAGAAUCAGUUACUCUAAAAUACACGUAUAUAUAUAUGUUAUCCACAGUAUUUGUCUUGAUAAAGUAUUUUCUUUGAUUGAAACAGUGAAUUACUGUUCUUCAAAGGAACUUAUCAAAAUAGGUCACAUUAUCAUUUUAUGUAAACUUGUCAACAUUUGGCAUUGAAGAUGGGAGCAGGCUGUGUCCUGAAAGCAUUCAUACAAAAUACUAAAAUUUAACCUGGAAGUGAUUGUCACUCUAGGAGGGAGGUUAGAAUUAAGGUGCAUUUGAUAUAUUAGCCACAUGUGUGUCUUGGGUUGUGUUUGUCAAGUAUGUUUAUAAAGCAAAACAAGUUACCUGUUCAGAAUCCUUAGAUCUGAUUAUUCUGUGAUUAUCUCCAUGAAAUGUAUAAGGUAUUAAGUUUGCAUAUAUGUUUGAGGUGGUAAUAAUUCCAGAAGCAUUUCUUUAAGAAAUGUCUUCCACCUGCAGGCCUUACUUACAAUCUCCACUGCAUCUGUGAAAGCCAGGCAUUAUCUCAAAGCACAAACCCCAUCUGUCUCUGUUUAUGUGUUAAAAAUGCUUCUGUUUUGCUUCAUUUUAGCAUGACAAGUGAAUCAGUUAGUAAUGGUGGGCACCUCUGUGGGCACUUUGUUGUGGACCUGCAUUUGCAGUUGCUGUAAAUAUCUGCAUUAUUUGUAAUGCAGAAGUACUUUUACAACUGUGGAAAGGUUCAUAAUGCUCCACAUGGUGGUCAGUGUCACCACUAUGGCAGUUCAUACAUGAACUAAGAAAAUAAGGAAAGCUGCAAGAGGUCAUCAAGCCUACAUGUGGCUGUAGCAUGAUACUUGAAUAUCAAGCCAUACUAUGAUAUCCUGCCUAUCCUGGCCAGUCAUGUCCAUGAUUUGGGACCAGUUGUCAUGGAGCUCACAAGGAGCAGCAACACUCACCUCUCCAGCAAAUGCCACAGACUUGAAGCACUGGUCUUCCAAAGAGAGCCACAGGCAGCUAGCACAGACCACACUCUCCAUCAUCUCAUCCCUUCUGGAGUGAUGUCUUUCUCAAGUACAAUACCACUGCCCCACCUUUGCAGCAAGGGUCAGAGGUCACAAAAGCCAAGAGGAUGAGUCAGAUCUCAGAUAACUUUGAGCACUUGGUCUUCACAAAAAGUAACAUGGGUCUGCUCACCAUGGAGUGUUUCCAGUGUUGGGGGAGUCUGAUUGGCUUUAAGCUGUGAUGGUGUGGCCAUGGGUGCCUGAUCUCUUGGUAGUGGUGUGCUGAAUGGACCUCAGAGCAGACCUCUGGGAUUAUUCACAGUAGCAGAUAACAAAAAGUAAUUUCACUAAACAAUUUACUACAUUUUCAUUGUAUUUCAUGUAUUUGCUUUAGGUAUCUCAAUUUUUCUUAAUGGAUUUCAUUUGCAGUCUUGUAAUUAGAGUUUUUCAUUCCAAGCUUUUUAAUGAGUUGAGAGAUUGGGGUCCACAAGUUUGUAGAGUUGUGAUUAGACUCAAAUUUUUUUAUUGAGGUGCCCACCACUUUUGUUUAGAUAGCAUCUAAUCCACCAAAGUGAGCAGAAACAAUUAGUCCUUUAUGAAUUGACAUCACCAGGUAUUGCAAAACCAUAAAUCUUUUUCAAUUGUUUUAAUUAAUUACUUGGAUGGGAAUAUACAUAUCAGCUGUAGUGUGAAAUAUGGGCCAUGCAGGUUUGCCUGAGACAGUAUUCCCUUGGAAUGUUCCUUUGGUCUGCUGCAAUGGUAAACAUCUUUUAUCCAUUCCUUGAAUCUUAUUCCUUUCUUGGAUUUACCAUCUUCUGACGUGCCUCUGCCAUCUAUCUAACUCAUAUGGUCUUCCUCUUACUCACUUCCAAUUCCAGUCUUAGGAUUUUGUUUACCUUUUCAAUAACUUUCAUUGAUUCUUUUUUUAUAGCUAACCCAAAACUAUGAAGUCUUGAAGACCAACGGAUAAACUCAACAUAUAGACAAUAAUCUCACACCACAUUCUGUAUCAUAAAGUAUGUUUGCCAUGUUGGUAAGGAAAUACAGGUUUUGUUGUUAAAUAGGGCUGGCACAAUACUUUUGAUGCAUGUAAAAAUCAGCCCAAUAGAGGUAGAGAUUAUUAGUGAUAAAAAAAAGUGUGACUUUAAAUUAGGGUGUAGGGGACUUAAGUCAAAAAAAAAAUUUUUUCAUUCAUGUUUGCACAAAUUAUUGUUGUACAUUUAGAGGUACUGUCAUUGAGAAUGCUAGGAAUGAGUGACUGUAAACACUGCCACUCAGCUGCUUCAGGGUUCACAUAGAAUUUUUUUAAAAAUUAAUAUGUGCCUAUCUAAGGCCAGAACAUAGAACAUUACUAAAUUGGGAUGCAAGGCAUCACAAAUAUAGCAACAUGGUAAGCUGUUGAUUCAAAUGAAGCAUUUUUAACAGAAUACUAUUAUGGUCUGUAUUGUGUCACUGUUUUGUCCAGUUCCCAUCAAGCCUUUGAAAAGGCAAUAUAGUCAGUCCAUCCCAUUCAAAGUCCAGCAUUGAGGCACUAAAGUUAAUUUCUUACAUUUAUGAUACAUUGAACAGACAAGUCAUCCAUCAAUCUAAUACAUUAGUGAAUCAUAUGGGCUUUGUAUAUAAAACAACUGUAUUUUCAUUGUGAUAAUUGGCACACUAAUGUUGCAUGAAUGUGUUUGUGAACAUUGCAAAUGAGUGCACAGUGAGUAUCUUAGAAUGCAAGUAUUAAUUGGUCUUCUAAAAUUGAAAAGUCCUUGGGAACUGCAGUGUGGAACUUCAUACACUGAUGUGUAAGGGACUGCACCAACCUUUAUACACAAUGCUGGUCAGGGCUGGGCACUGCAAGCUAAAAUUAGCUUCAGAUAAUUGAUAUUUGACACGGCAAAUCUGCAAAAUUCAUAAAAUCUUUUGUUCCACAAAUGCAAAUGUAUCCCUUUGAAUACAUAUUAAUUUUAAUCAAGGUAACAUUAGAUACUGAAAAUUUUAUAAUCAUUUUUCAUAAUGAGGGUGUCGAAAAUCAUCUAAUAAUCAUUCAGUAUAAUUAUAUUUAUUACAUUUUGACUAAAAAUGUUUUAGUUUCAGAGAUUGCUUUUAGACUCAAUAGAGUAUAUAAGAUAUUUAUAGUAAGAUUAUAUAUUUGUUGUGUGUGUGUGUGUGUGUGUGUGUGUGUGUGUGUGUGUGUGUGUGUGUGUGUGUACGCACAUUUUCUUGCCCUUGGUAUGAUGAAGUACUUUUACUACCAGUAGCAAGGCAAGGUUAGCUGGCGGGUUUGCCUUGGUGAAAAUAUUUUUCUAGAUUCAAGACUAAAAAAAAAAUAUUAUAGGAUUUGUCACAAAUGGAAGUAAAAUCUGCAGUUAUGGAAACAGUGGGUUGCAAAAUAUAACUAAGUGCCCAGCUCCUAUUGAAAUGAAAAAUGGUAUCUGGGAUAUAUAGAAUUACCUCUAUCAGUACCACAUAUUUUGUGCAAUGUUACAUUAUUCAAAAUAUUCAUCCUCCCAUACAGUAUUUUUAGUAUUUCCAGAUAAUCUUAUUCCUCAAAAGAUGAAAACCCCCAAAUGUUCUAUGAGGCUUCCCAUAAAGAUACAUGUUUUUGUUCUUCAUUCUGACUUCUUUACUAAUCUUUUCAUAUGUGCUGUCAUCUACACUGUCUGCUACAUUGAUGCCUCCUCACCAAUACUGCCAGUCAGGUCUUGGCCUCAGAUCACUUCACUCUGGCUAUUCAGCCUCUCUCUCAUCUCAUAAAUGUGAAUCUAAGCAUUUUGAUCAUGCAUUGCAGUGAACACCAAUGACUAAGACAUGAUUGGCAGCAGUUGGUAGGAAGAAGUAAUGGAGCACACUACAUAUUAUUUGUACUUUAUUCCACCACCAGCAUGCCCACCAUACAUGCAAGACCCAAACACCACCUACUUACCGUCCAUUUUUACAUCCUAGAUUCUUGCAAUUUGGUUUCUUUUAAGUAUUGUAUGCAUUUUCUUUUGAUUUCUUCAUUCUAGUUAUUGCAUGUUCUAAGUAACAGAUUGUGUUGUCUUAUUCAUUCCUACGGAUUCAUCCUCGUGAACACUCCAUCAUCUUUCGUGCAUACUUGUUGCGUAUUUUUGUAAGUUACCAAGUGAGCAUGAUGAAAUUAAGGGUGGGGGAGGGGGACACUAGUUUUGAACUCAUGUUGAAACUAUUAUAUGACAUGGGUAAUAAAUGCUAUAACCUUAUAA